rnacentral:rRNA from 1 species
ACGCUGGCGGCGUGCCUAACACAUGCAAGUCGAGCGGAGACAUUGGCUUCGGUUAAUGUUUUAGCGGCGGACGGGUGAGUAACGCGUGAGCAACCUUUCUCUCAGUGGGGAAUAACACAGGGAAACUUGUACUAAUACCGCAUGAGACCACAUUGUCGCAUGGCAAAGAGGUCAAAGAUUUAUCGCUGAGAGGUGGGCCUGCGUCUGAUUAGCUAGUUGGUGGGGUAACGGCUCACCAAGGCGACGAUCAGUAGCCGGUCUGAGAGGAUGAACGGCCACAUUGGGACUGAGACACGGCCCAGACUCCUACGGGAGGCAGCAGUGGGGAAUCUUCCGCAAUGGACGAAAGUCUGACGGAGCAAUGCCGCGUGAGUGAUGAAGGUUUUCGGACCGUAAAGCUCUUUUGUUUAUGACGAAUGUGCAUUAUGUGAAUAAUGUAGUGUAAUGACGGUAGUAAACGAAUAAGCCACGGCUAACUACGUG